rnacentral:rRNA from 1 species
ACACGGGGGGCGCAAGCGUUAUUCGGAAUUAUUGGGCGUAAAGGGCGUGUAGGCGGUUUUAUCGGUCAGAUGUGAAAGCCCAGGGCUCAACCCUGGACGUGCAUUUGAAACAGUAAGACUUGAGUACGGUAGAGGAAAGCGGAAUUCCUGGUGUAGAGGUGAAAUUCGUAGAUAUCAGGAGGAACACCGAUGGCGAAGGCAGCUUUCUGGACCGAAACUGACGCUGAUGCGCGAAGGCGUGGGUAGCGAACAGGAUUAGAUACCCCAGUAGUCC